rnacentral:piRNA from 1 species
UACUCAUUGUGAAGACAUUGGUGAUGUGU